AGCCAACAUCAGCUGGAUGUACUUGGGCAGCCUGGAGGAAAAGCCUUGCUGCAUGACUGGUGAGGACUUCUUCCUGCCUGGCCCCACCCAGAGAGCUGCAUGGCUGGUGAACACCUUGGCUGGGACCCAGACUGCUCCUCCUCAGGCUGUCUGUCCCCUCUGGAUGGUUCAGAUGUCCUGGUCAUAUACACAGGAAAGCAUUUGUGUCCCGGUGUCCAGCUAUUCACGGAAUGAACAGGAAAGGACGAGUCUGUGAAGCCAGUCCCAUCUGAGGUCACUACUCCGAAACAACCCGUCUGUGAAAGGAAAAGUCUUGAAGAGCAAGGCAGGGUGGCCUUCUCAGCCUACCACACACCAGCUCUUGUACACUUCCUCGCAGCCUGGAACCUCAUACAGAAAGCUCCUUUUUAGCCCUCCCUUCUCAGUCGGCCUUGUGAACCAAUCAGCCAGAAGCCUCCACUGCUCCCGGAAGGCUGUGUUCGAGAGGCCUGUCACUGGAGACUGACCGCUCGAUGUCUUUUGUUCUGUGCAGCACCAGUGGAAUCUGAGACUCCUCUGAAGACAGUGAGGAGAAACAAAGCCCACGCAGAGCAAACUGAGGCUGGCGAGAGAUUCAGGAAAGGAGAGAAAGAAGCAGGUGUGUUUUACUGGAGACCCUGUGGGGAUGUCAGCUCUCCAGGGCAUGAGUCUGAACUUGGACUAUUCCAUCUCCUCAAAGCCUGGUCAGCUGUGUGAAUCCCAGAAAGAAUCUGUCUUCAGCCUACUUGCGAUGAGCCCCAGGAAGGCAAAACACCUUCAUCCACCUGAGCUGUGGCCUGAAAUGGGGCGGUUCUGGGAAGAAACACUUUUCACUGGCUCCACUGUUACUCCUGGGCUACCUAUUAGUCCCCAAACAUGGAAGCAAUUCAGGAGUUGGCUGCAUUUUAUGUUGACAGAUACUACCCACUGAUAUGCAAGAACUAAGCUGUGUUUCUAGCUCGCAGUCCCUGGCACUAGGGCCUCAGCAAGCACCGAGAAGGAGCCACUUUGAGUCCUUUGUGAGGGUUUUCUGGGUUAGCUCUCAAAAGGUCCGUUUUCCAGAUGAGUUAACCGAAGUGCGCUGGUUAGCCUUUCCUUAGUGUGAUAGAGAGAAACAGCCUAGAGAAAGACGAGACUGGCUCUGGUUCACAAUCUUAGAGGCCAGUUGUCCAACUGCCCUUGGAGGAGGCCAGAAGCCAUCAUUUUUGGUACUCUAUGUUGGAGUGUGAGGUAGAGCUGCUCAACUCACGACCAAGAAUGGAAGAGGAGAGCAGUAGACUGAGGUCCUAUCAGCCCUUUCAGGGAUAGCCUCCCCCCCACCCCCACUUCCUAACGUCCUUUCUGUAGGUAGGCCUUACCUCUGAAAGGAUCCAUAGGCUGGCAGGGAGCAUGUACACAGUACCCCCAAACUUGGCCCCAUGAAGUUGAGUAUGUCUCUGCCAAGAGGAGAUAUGGGCUACGGUGGCAGGACAAGUGGAGGAAGAAAGGGGUCAGUCUUCACCAGCUGUGUGUCUGUCCUC